GCAGUCGAGCGAGCUUGCCUAGAUGAAUUUGGUGCUUGCACCAAAUGAAACUAGAUACAAGCGAGCGGCGGACGGGUGAGUAACACGUGGGUAACCUGCCCAAGAGACUGGGAUAACACCUGGAAACAGAUGCUAAUACCGGAUAACAACACUAGACGCAUGUCUAGAGUUUAAAAGAUGGUUCUGCUAUCACUCUUGGAUGGACCUGCGGUGCAUUAGCUAGUUGGUAAGGUAACGGCUUACCAAGGCAAUGAUGCAUAGCCGAGUUGAGAGACUGAUCGGCCACAUUGGGACUGAGACACGGCCCAAACUCCUACGGGAGGCAGCAGUAGGGAAUCUUCCACAAUGGACGCAAGUCUGAUGGAGCAACGCCGCGUGAGUGAAGAAGGGUUUCGGCUCGUAAAGCUCUGUUGGUAGUGAAGAAAGAUAGAGGUAGUAACUGGCCUUUAUUUGACGGUAAUUACUUAGAAAGUCACGGCUAACUACGUGCCAGCAGCCGCGGUAAUACGUAGGUGGCAAGCGUUGUCCGGAUUUAUUGGGCGUAAAGCGAGUGCAGGCGGUUCAAUAAGUCUGAUGUGAAAGCCUUCGGCUCAACCGGAGAAUUGCAUCAGAAACUGUUGAACUUGAGUGCAGAAGAGGAGAGUGGAACUCCAUGU
rnacentral:rRNA from 1 species